rnacentral:rRNA from 1 species
AUUGAACGCUGGCGGAAUGCUUUACGCGUGCAAGUCGAACGGCAGCACGGGUGCUUGCACCUGGUGGCGAGUGGCGAACGGGAGAGUAAUACAUCGGAACGUACCCAGUCGUGGGGGAUAACGUAGCGAAAGUUACGCUAAUACCGCAUACGUCCUGAGGGAGAAAGCGGGGGACCGUAAGGCCUCGCGCGAUUGGAGCGGCCGAUGGCGGAUUAGCUAGUUGGUGGGGUAAAGGCCUACCAAGGCGACGAUCCGUAGCGGGUCUGAGAGGACGGCCCGCCACACUGGAACGGAGACACGGUCCAGACUCCUACGGGAGGCAGCAGUGGGGAAUUUUGGACAAUGGGCGAAAGCCUGAUCCAGCCAUUCCGCGUGAGUGAAGAAGGCCUUCGGGUUGUAAAGCUCUUUCGGCAGGGAAGAAACGGCUUGGGAUAAUACCCCGGGCUAAUGACGGUACCUGAAGAAGAAGCACCGGCUAACUACGUGCCAGCCGCCGCAGUAA